rnacentral:rRNA from 1 species
UACGGAGGGAGCUAGCGUUGUUCGGAAUUACUGGGCGUAAAGCGUACGUAGGCGGUUAUUCAAGUCAGAGGUGAAAGCCUGGAGCUCAACUCCAGAACUGCCUUUGAAACUAGAUUGCUAGAAUCCUGGAGAGGUUAGUGGAAUUCCGAGUGUAGAGGUGAAAUUCGUAGAUAUUCGGAAGAACACCAGUGGCGAAGGCGACUAACUGGACAGGUAUUGACGCUGAGGUGCGAAAGCGUGGGGAGCAAACAGG